rnacentral:rRNA from 1 species
ACGCCCGGUUACAUACCGAACCCGGAAGCUAAG